UACGGAAGGGGCAAGCGUUGUUCGGAAUCAUUGGGCGUAAAGGGCGCGUGAGGUGGCUCUGUAUGUCUACCGUGAAAGCAUACAGCUCAACUGUAUUUUGUCGGUAGAAACUGCAGGACUUGAGGCUGGGAGGGGCUGGUGGAAUUCCCUGUGUAGCGGUGAAAUGCGUAGAGAUGGGGGAGAACACUCGUGGCGAAGGCGGCCAGCUAGACCAGUUCUGACACUGAGGCGCGACAGCGUGGGGAGCAAACAGG
rnacentral:rRNA from 1 species